CCCUGGUUGUUCAGUGGUUAGGACUCAGCACUUUCACUGCUGAAGGCCUGGGUUCAAUCCCUGAGCUGGGC
rnacentral:tRNA from 1 species